UACGUAGGGUGCGAGCGUAAUCGGAAUUACUGGGCGUAAAGGGCUCGUAGGCGGCCAACUAAGUCGGAUGUGAAAUCCCCAAGCUUAACUUGGGAACUGCAUCCGAUACUGGAUGGCUUGAAUCCGGGAGAGGGAUGCAGAAUUCCAGGUGUAGCGGUGAAAUGCGUAGAUAUCUGGAGGAAUACCGGUGGCGAAGGCGGCAUCCUGGACCGGCAUUGACGCUGAGGAGCGAAAGCUAGGGGAGCAAACGGG
rnacentral:rRNA from 1 species